ensembl:lncRNA
GCCAUUUCCCUGUGGCACAUUUCUCUGUGGGUGUCACCGUCGUUCCAUUUGGCUGCAGCUGAAAACGUAUGAUCCGGUUGGAACGUUAUUGAAUAUAUAUGAAAAUAACAUCCUGAAGAUUGAUUCUCUACUUAGUUUGACCAGUUUAUUCGACCUGGAAUAUAUCUUUUUGAAGUUUUCGUCCGAGUUUUCCUGGACCAGUGUCAGCUUUUGGGCACGUGAGCUGAAAGUGCUAGCAAAUGCAGCUAAUUGGACACUAGUAUUGGACAUUAUGGAACAAAACAAUGAUUUAUUGUGGAACUAGGACUCCUUGCACUGCAUUCUGAUGAAAGAUCAUCAAAGGUAAGGGAAUAUUUAUGAUGUAAUUUCGUAUUUCUGUUGACUCCAACAUGGCUGAGAAAUAUAUAUAUGUCUGACACAGCGGUUGCAUUAAGAACCUUUAAUUAUAUGUAGAACAUGUAUCUUUAGUCAAAGUUUAUGAUGAGUAUUUCUGUUAUCUGGCGUAGCUUUCUAUAAUUCCUCCGGAUAUUUUGGAGGCAUUUCUGAACAUGGUGUCAAUGUAAACGGAGAUUUGUGGAUAUAAAUAUGGAUAUUAUCGAACAAAACAUAAAUAUAUUGUGUAACAUGUCAUAUGAGUGUCAUCUGAUGAAGAUUUUCAAAAGGUUAGUGAUUCAUUUUUAUCUCUCACCCUGCUUUUGUGACUCUAUCUUUGGCUGGGGAAAAUGGCUGUGUUUUAUUUUAUUUGGUGGUGGUCUAACAUAAAUAUAUGUUGUGUUUUCGCUGUAAAACAUUUAAAAAAUCGGACAUGAUGGGUAGAUGAACAACAUGUUUAUCUUUCAUUUGCUGUGUUGGAAUAUUUUUGAAUUCCCUGCGCCACCUUUUCAGCUGAAUUGGGGGGGGGUUCCCCUAGGGGAUCGCCUUGCCAUAACAGGUUUUAAGGGGAAGGGAUCUAAGAGAGAAGGGAAAAAUGGACAGGAUCAGACAAUAGAAAGUGUUUCAAUUGUGAUAAGACAGGACAUUUCACCAGGGAGUGUAAGGCUCCCUGUAAACAUUGUGACCGAGUAGGGCACAGCCACCGAAACUGCAAACAUAAGGGGAAGAACAGGCGCAACAACCGGGAGAGAAAGAGAGAGAUGGAGACAACGAGAGCAAGAGUAAUGAGAGUUGUCGCCUGAGUAACGCUUGGAUCUUUAAAGUAGGGCAAUUUCCUAGGAAUUGUCUCGGUAGUACGUUCCUGAUUUUAUUCACUACAGACAAUUAUAAAUGGGGUUAUUUGCGGGGAGUCUUCAUCAUUUCAAAAGCUUUGGUGGUUCAGUGGUAGAAUUCUCGCUUUCCACAUGGGAGGCCCGGGUUUGUUUCCCGACCUAUGCACCAAUUGACUAAAAUCUGUGUUUCUAAUUCUACUAUUGGUAUGUUUUGUCUGGAAAGAUACGGCCGCUAGUGUUUGUUUAAGAUAUAAACUGAAUGUUUUAAUAGCUUGUUUAGUUUAAAUUGAAAGACGAAUUCAUUCAAAAUAAUAGCGAGGCGAUUUCGAUUUAAAGUCAUUUGUAAUACUGAUUUUAAGGUCAUUUAAUUUGUGUAAUUGAUAAUUAUGAUGGAGAUUAAAGUUCUUAGACAUUUGGACCAAUGAGAAGAAAGAAAGGGCAUAGCCUUUGACUAAGGGGGUAGGCUUCCUUAAUAAGUCUAUUUUCCUAUGACCAUCAGGGUACAAUAAUUGGGUUUAUAAAAAAUAGUCAUAAGGUUAUUUUGAAACUCCCACUAUUUUGGCUUAAGUAAUGUUUAGUAACCUAGCUAUGUUUUAUUUUCCCUUAGGUAGUCGGCUGUUGUUGUAUGCAGAUGAUAUUUUUGUGAGAAAUUUAACACAACAAGGCUGUGAAAUUGAUAUAGUAUAAUUAUAUUUUGUUGUUGAAUAACUUUGUUGUUGAAUAAGGUUAUAAAGUUAGUAAGAAUAAGUUAGGUUAAGUAUUUAAGAUAUAUUUUAAGCCUGAAGGAGUAAGAAUAAAUGGGGAAAAGAUUUUGUCUGCUCCAUAGGUUCUAAAAACAGGAGAAGUCGGGAGGGCAGGCAUGUAUUCCAGUCCGUAUCUCCAGGUUAUGUUUAGUUAAUCUGUUGGGAAAAGAUGCAAUGACUCUGUUGAAUGUGGCCGUCACCCCCACAGAAAGCCCGAGGCCAUAAAAGAGAUUACUCCAACCUUUGAAGAUUUGGUAGAGGGGGGUGUAAUUAGAGAAGGAGAUGCACAGUGCAAUUCUCCAAUGUUCCCCGUAAAGAAAGCAGCCCCCAGUAAUGAUUGGAGAAUGGUAUUAGACUUACAAAGAGGGAUUCACAUGUUGUUUAAACAAUUGAAAAUAGAAAAUACCUAUUGUUCUGUCUACCAAUCUUACCAAAGACACUGUUGACAUAUGCAGCAAUAUUGACACGUGGGCAGAGCCACGAUUAUGGUAGCUAAAACAUUAGGUCCAGAUAUUAUCCCUAGAGUUGGUUUACUAGGAUCUAUUUCUUUAAACAAAGGUUGGCAUUUUAGCUAAUCAGGUAGACCAUAUAGAAUGCCAGAGUUAGGGAGACCAGAACGGACCGACAUAGAAAUUGAAGAUAUACUAGCAGAACGCAUGAGAAGACUGUUAGUAACCACACCCGUAUGUCAAAGAUUUUAUGCCCAACAGGAGAGUUGCAGAAGGAGAUAACACACAAGAUCCAACCAGGAGAAUGGGUCUGGGUCCAAUCCCUAAAGAAAAAAGACUGGAAACAGCCACGGUGGGACGGACCAUACCAACUGCUACCUAUCCAAUAUACAGCAAGGUCUAUGGCAAAGGAAGAGUGCUAUGCCUGUGCAACAGCUAAACGCUGAUUAACGACUACCCCGUUCCCACUUGAUGGAACCAAUUCACAUGGAGGAGUAGCGUGUAUGGUAAAGCUUUUCAUGAAAGCAGGAAAGCCUGACAAUGAUAGCUGUACUGAUCUACAUUAUUUGUAUCCCCAUGCGCCUAUUAGAUAUAGGCUUCCCCCUUUCAUAGUGGCAGGAGGAGACUAUAACUGUUUGGCCCGGUCCAAUACUCAUGGGAGAGAUGUGGGGGAGGUGGCAAGAUGUUAUAGGACUGAAAAUGUCACAACUGAUCAGACUAUGAGAGAUCUGACAGGGUGGUUGAGCUCUGAGGACUUCAGUAAGAUAAAGAGGCCGAGAGCUGAUGUCUGGUGGUUGUGUGGGGGAGUGAAAUUAUGGACAAAUCUACCUAUGAAUUGGACUGGCCUAUGUGCUCUUGUACAAUUAGUAAUGCUUUUCACCCUCAUCCAACACCAUGACCUAAUGCCAGUAAAGCAGGCAAAAAGAAGCUCUCCGUCUGGGUCCUUUGACGAUAGAGUAUAUAUUGAUCAUAGGGGUGCCAGAUGAAUUUAAAGCAAGAAACCAGAUAUUAGCAGGGUUGGAGUCAAGCAUUUUCUAAUGGUCAACUCUCAAUAAGAAUGUAGAUUGGAUAAAUUAUAUAUAUUAUAAUCAACAGUGUUUCAUCAACUACUGUAUACUAGAGAUGUGAUAAAAGGGUUAGCAGAACAGACAGGGGUAACUAGUUUGAUGGUAUGGCAGAAUAGAAUAGCAUUGGAUAUGUUACUGGCCGAGAAGGGUGGUGUGUGUGAUAUUUGGAUCAGAGUGCUGUACUUACAUCCCAAAUAAGGCCCUGGUCGGUUUAACCACAUUGGCUAAUGAGGUGGGCAAGGUGGGCAGAGUAGGCCAAGGAGUGAACAGCUAGCCCUGUUGUCUCUCUGUAAACGGCGUCCAGAUCUUUUCAACAGGCACAGUUCAGGGGUGAGUCAGGGACCAGAGUGGGAGAAUUAGACCAUGUGUAACUUGAGAGGGGCAAGGGCAUCAAGGAGGAGGAGACUCAGGGCUGGGGCAGGUGUUUAUCAGGUUUAGAUGGUAAUAGUCAUUUUGUUGUUGACAUGAUCUCUGUCAAACAGAAAAUGUCAACAUUUUUGUCAGUGAUAGUCACGAAGAGUCUAAGACCUUGAAAAGACCAGCAUGUUGUUGCCAGGGUCACCAAACGAAACACACCACUGUUAAGUAUGGCUACAAGCAGACACAUUGGGAUGAGCAAAUACACCCAUGAAUGACUACAGCACUUGACAUAUUAGGCCUAUAUUCUUUCAGAAAUGCAAAUUAAUCCAACUCUACAGUGGGGAUCACUAUAUAAAGACAACAUUGUAAUGUGUUACUUUUGUAAUGUUCGAUGGUCUGGAAAAAAACAUAAUGUUUACCCUGAAGCAGUGCAAUAAGAAAGGCCUGUUAUUUUAUCACUGAAUAAUAAAAGAUGUUAAUAGCGCUAUUACUAAUGAACUUGUUAAAUUAUUGGCUUAUUAAUUGUCUGCCCAAUGCAAUCGCAAAGUAGUCAAGACUGUCGAUAAACGUUUUGACUCCUGAGACUGCUUGAAAAUAAAUCUUAAUCACCAAAGCUUGUCAUGCCUGCUCCCACUCGAGCGCCAGGCUGCCCAGCAUUAUGCACUCCUGCCACCAUCAUUUACGCACACCUGCCUCCCUCGUCACGCGCUUCAGCGAUAUUGGACUCACCUGGACUCAAUUAACCUCUAGUGACUCCCAAACCCGCAUGUCCGGCGUCGGUCUUUACAAAGCUUUAUUCACAUAUCAAGUCUGAGAGGAGUAAAACAGUGAGCUGACAUUCCCUUUUUAUCUAUGCAUUGUAGAUCCUCUGGGUUGGGUUGGCACCCCCCUUGGGUUGUGCCGUGGCGGAGAUCUUUGGGCUAUACUUUGCCUUGUCUCAGGAUGAGGACACUAGGACCAUACCUCAGGACUACCUGGCAUGAUGACUCCUUACUGUCCCCAGUCCACCUGGCCGUGCUGCUGCUCCAGCUUCAACUGUUCUGCCUGCGGCUAUGGAACCCUGACCUGUUCACCGGACGUGCUACCUGUCCCAGACCUGCUGUUUUCAACUCUCUAGAGACAGCAGGAGCGGUAGAGAUACUCUCAAUGAUCGGCUGAAAAUCCAACUGACAUUUACUCCUGAGGUGCUGACUUGUUGCACCCUCGACAACUACUGUGAUUAUUAUUAUUUGACCAUGCUGGUGAUUUAUGAACAUUUGAACAUCUUGGCCAUGUUCUGUUAUAAUCUCCACCCGGCACAGCCAGAAGAGGACUGGCCACCCCUCAUAGCCUGGUUCCUCUCUAGGUUUCUUCCUAGGUUUUAGCCUUUCUAGGGAGUUUUUCCUAGCCACCGUGCUUCUACACCUGCAUUGCUUGCUGUUUGGGGUUUUAGGCUGGGUUUCUGUACAGCACUUUGAUGUAUCAGCUGAUGUAAGAAGGGCUAUAUAAAUACAUUUGAUUUGAUUUAGGCAGGCCCACAUUAUUUUAGCCAUGCAGGUCCCAUUUUGGAUGAGUGUAAAACACUCCAUAGUCUGCGUUGUCUUAAUAUUAUAUGAUGGUGCCUGUAAGUGUGACAUAGCCUAUUAAAAACAAGUAGUUGUUUUGUUUAGAAUUUGAUUAGAAUGACUUGUUCUCUUUUUAGGCCUUAUCAAUAAUGAAUUGAAUCUUGCUUAUUGACAGUGUUUGAAAUGUUCAUGCUCAUCCAUAAUGUACUUUACAGUAGGCCUAGCCCGAUAUCAGUGCGAAUGCUAUUGGAGCCAUGCAAUAACUUAGAACAAUGUGGACUGCAGAUGGGUUCAAGUGAACCUAUUUAGCAAAGACGGGAUAGGUCUACAUUUUGUUAUUUCGUUUCUGUAAGCCAUUUAACAAACUAUAACGGACUAUAUCAUUGGAAUUGGAGUUGUUUCCAAAGCAAUACAUACAAGACCGUAUAUACACCAUGGAGCACGUUCUGAUUGGCCAGUGAGGGGCUAAGCUUCGACACCCACAACUUGUUAAUUCAUCAAAACUCAGCCCUUUUGCACCAAUGCCAGAAUGUGCGCCAAUUGUGAUAGUGAAAAUAUAACAAAUAUUUCUGACACACCACUGAACCUAUAGCUCUACCGCCUGUUCUUAGAUUUAUCAUUGCGUUAAGUUUUAUUACAAUAGAGCCCUUAGGGUCAGACUGUUAAUUAUUUCAUAAAGCUGACUGCCAAUCUUUGUCAGACCUUGUGUUGGAGGAGAAAAAGUAUGAUGAGUCCCUCACUAUAUAUAUAUAUAUAUGAGUGUAUGAAACAAUAGGAACACCUUCCUAAUAUUGAGUUGCACCCCCUUUUGCACUCAGAACAGGCUCAAUUCGUUGGGGCCUGGACUCUAUACAUGAAGAUAGGAGAGGAGUCUGUUCCACUCUGCCAUCAUGACAUCCAUCCCCAUCACUUUAUUGUCCAUGUGCACCCCAGCAAGAAUGGAAUCAUGAUAUUUGCAAAAGCCCUGAAAGACAGAGAAAGAGAAAGAGAGAACCACCUCCAAUAACUACAAGGCCAGAGACUGCCCAGCCUGGAGCCCCAGGGCCAUUCCACAGCACACAAGGAGCUAAAAGCUGCAUGUAGCCCACGACACCCCUGGUCCCAGGCUACAUUCUGUCCCUGGUUUUCAUGUACCCCCCCCCCCAAAUAGUUUUGACAGUGAAUAUAUGAAUGUAACACACAUGUAUUGUUAUUUUCCUUUAACAACAAUGGCCACAGAAACAGGAUAUGGAACAGGCUCUCUGGCCACUGGAAAAGGUUCUGGCUGAGGUCCGCUAGCGUCAGGGGUUCUGGCCCACUGGCUGCUGAAGAUUCUGGGGGAGGUCUACUCGCCUCUGUAUGUACUAGCUCACUGGCCAUCGCGGAAGGUUCUGGAGGACCACUAGCUUUCCAAGGUUAGGGUACGUAGGGUAACCUGGGAAAGAAGUCUGGUUGCCCCCUGGGAAUGGGCCUGGCUGGCUGCAUGGGCUGCUGCAGACCUGAAAGACUGGACGUGAGUAAGGAUCGUGGAUUGGAGGGAAGAGGUCCCUGAAGCAAUAACAGUUGGUUGUAUUCAUUAAUGUCAUAUUGGGUGGAAGCUACUAAAGUUUUAAGGAAGUAUUCUUUAAUGUAAAGUACAUUUAAAUUUAUAACAAUAAUAGCCGGUGUCAAAAAAUGUAAGGAAUUGCCGUAGAUCGUACAGUCAUGUCCUCCCAAUCAAUAACAGUCAUAUGGGGUGGACGGUAUUUAAGUUUUUAGCAAGUUUUUUAAUAUAUUUUUUUACAUAUACUAAAAUUAAUUUAAAAUAGCCAAAGUAAAAACAUUUUUAAAAAGUAAUUGCCGUAGAUGGGAGGGAAGAGGUCCCUAAACCAAUAACAAUUGGUUGUUUUCAUGCAAGUGAUAUACGGUAGAAGCUAUUGCUGUAUUAAGGAAGUGUAUUUGGCAUAUUCUGAUAUUAAAUUAAUUGAAAAUAGCCAAAGUUCAAAAAUACAACUGUCAUUUCCAUAGAUUGUACAGACGAAGUCCCUGAAUCAAUAACAAUUGGUUGUAGUAUUCAUGCAAGCUAUAUGGGGUUGAAGCUAUAUAUGUUUUAAGGAAUUAUUGUUUUUAACAAAUUAAAACAUUUUAUUAAUUGGAAACAGCCAAAGUAAAAAAAAUAAAGAAGCAUUUGUAAUAUUUCUAAGUCAUGUGGUAAGAAAUCUAUUGAAGUCUUUCUGUUAGCAUUAGGUUUCAAUUGCCCUUUUAAGACGGUCCCUUAGCUGUGACUACACUUAGAAAUUUGUAUUUUAUUUUUAUUUUUUAUUUUUUUUACAUAUGAUAUUAAAUUAAUUGGAUGGGAGAGUAGAGGUCCCUGAAUGUAUUUCAGUUGGGUUGAGUUCUCUUUCAUUUGGUUACAAAGCUAUUUAAGUUUUUCAGUUAACACUACAUUUUAAUUGCACUUUAAGCAGUGGCGUGUAUUCAUGGAUGCCAAGGGAAGCCAGGCUUCCCCCCCCAAAAUUGACCAAACAUUAAUUUAAAAAAUGGACAAUGGCAAUAACAUCCGCUAAAUAUGUGUAUGUGACCAACGUUUUUAUUUUUUUAUUUUAUGCAAUAUGCUUUGUGGACUUCACUGGACAGAGGUUGCUAUCUGGUUUUGUGAUUUAAAAAAAAGUGUGGUUGAAUUUAUUCUGUCACUGUCUUAUUGUCUCGGCCUUUAGGCCUAUAUAUCACGGUCGCAAGGCCGAUUAAGUAACCGGUUAUAGAGCAAACAAGCAAUUAUCACAACACAGGUUGUACUUUUUUGCAGGGAGGGGGGUUUAUCCUCGCACUACUACUGCUUUUAAGACAGUCCCUUAGCUGUGACUACACGGAUAAUCAGCCAUAGAAAUGUACAUAAAAUAUUUUUGGGGAAAACAGAACGGAACAGAAUACUCAAUAGUGUUGCUGUGGACACUGGAUACUCUGACUAACACACACACCUGUUUGACCUUGCUGUGAUACCUUAGGCCUACUUAUGUUACUUUUCUGAGUCAAUUCAGGUAGCAUUCAAUAUCCUGCAUGCAUUUUUGUUAAACCAUGGCAACCAGCAUUGCAAAUGAAGAGAUGUGCAUAAAUAUAAUCAUCCUCUGUCUGUAGAUCCUUUCCCCUUAAUGUAUUUGUCAUGUCAGCCAGGCCAAUCUUUUCAAAGUAACAAUAUCUAGUUGAGUAAAAUAAGGAGUCUAUUGCUUCAUUCCUUGUUUCGUUUUUACUUGUUACCUGGUAAAUAACCAACAACCAUCGUGAGGAAACAGUCCAUGUAAGGUGAGGAAACAGUCCAUGUAAGGUGAGGAAAC